rnacentral:rRNA from 1 species
UACAGAGGGUGCAAGCGUUGUUCGGAAUUAUUGGGCGUAAAGCGCGUGUAGGCGGCUUUGCAAGUCGGGUGUGAAAUCCCUCGGCUCAACCGAGGAAGUGCGCCCGAAACUGCAGGGCUUGAGUACCGGAGAGGAUGGCGGAAUUCCCCAAGUAGAGGUGAAAAUUCGUAGAUAUGGGGAGGAACACCGGUGGCGAAGGCGGCCAUCUGGACGGAUACUGACGCUGAGACG